rnacentral:tRNA from 1 species
GAGGGUAUAGCUCAGUGGUAGAGCACUUGCUUAGCAUGCAAGAGGUCCUGGGUUCAAUCCCCAGUAUUGCCA